AGAGUUUGAUCCUGGCUCAGGACGAACGCUGGCGGCGCGCUUAACACAUGCAAGUCGAGCGAGAACCUGGCCUUCGGGCCUGGGGAAAGCGGCGAACGGGUGAGUAACACGUGGGUAACCCACCCUUGGUACCGGGAUAGCCCGGGGAAACCCGGAUUAAUACCGGAUGGCCCAACAGCUCUUCGGGGCGGUUGGAAAAGGUAGCUUCGGCCUCCGACCAAGGACGGGCCCGCGGCGGAUUAGCUUGUUGGUGGGGUAACGGCCUACCAAGGCGACGAUCCGUAGCUGGUCUGAGAGGACGAUCAGCCACACUGGGACUGAGACACGGCCCAGACUCCUACGGGAGGCAGCAGUGGGGAAUCUUGCGCAAUGGGCGAAAGCCUGACGCAGCGACGCCGCGUGGGGGAAGAAGGCUUUCGGGUUGUAAACCCCUUUCAGGAAGGACGAAGCCACUCGGGUGAAUAGCCCAGAGGGUGACGGUACUUCCAGAAGAAGCCCCGGCUAACUACGUGCCAGCAGCCGCGGUAAUACGUAGGGGGCAAGCGUUGUCCGGAUUUAUUGGGCGUAAAGAGCGUGUAGGCGGUUUGGUAGGUCCAUUGUGAAAACUCGAGGCUCAACCUCGAGACGCCGGUGGAAACCAUCAGACUAGAGUCCGGAAGAGGAGAGUGGAAUUCCUGGUGUAGCGGUGAAAUGCGCAGAUAUCAGGAAGAACACCCGUGGCUAAGGCGGCUCUCUAGUACGGUACUGACGCUGAGACGCGAAAGCGUGGGGAGCGAACAGGAUUAGAUACCCUAGUAGUCC
rnacentral:rRNA from 1 species